UACAGAGGGGGCAAGCGUUGUUCGGAAUCACUGGGCGUAAAGGGCGCGUAGGCGGCGCGGGCAGUCAACGGUGAAAGCUUGGGGCUCAACCCCGAGUCGGCCGUCGAUACUCCCGUGCUUGAGCACUGUAGAGGCAGGUGGAAUUCCGGGUGUAGCGGUGGAAUGCGUAGAGAUCCGGAAGAACACCGGUGGCGAAGGCGGCCUGCUGGGCAGUAGCUGACGCUGAGGCGCGACAGCGUGGGGAGCAAACAGG
rnacentral:rRNA from 1 species